GACGAACGCUGGCGGCGUGCUUAACACAUGCAAGUCGAGCGGUAAGGCUCCUUCGGGAGUACACGAGCGGCGAACGGGUGAGUAACACGUGAGUAAUCUGCCCUUCACUUCGGGAUAACCACCGGAAACGGUGGCUAAUACCGAAUACGACCAGUCUUCGCAUGAGGUGCUGGUGGAAAGUCUUUUCGGUGAAGGAUGUGCUCGCGGCCUAUCAGCUUGUUGGUGGGGUAAUGGCCUACCAAGGCUUCGACGGGUAGCCGGCCUGAGAGGGUGACCGGCCACAAUGGGACUGAGACACGGCCCAGACUCCUACGGGAGGCAGCAGUGGGGAAUAUUGGACAAUGGGCGAAAGCCUGAUCCAGCAACGCCGCGUGAGGGAUGACGGCCUUCGGGUUGUAAACCUCUUUCAGUACCGACGAAGCGCCCUGUCGGGUGGUGACGGUAGGUACAGAAGAAGGACCGGCCAACUACGUG
rnacentral:rRNA from 1 species